AGCCUGCCCUGUUCGCGAAUGUUUCCUUUAUAACCCUACAAGCUACAAUUUUGGGAGCUGUGCUCUCGCAGUGGGUAUGCAGGCCUCCCACAAUAAAAUGCGGACGUUGGAAGCACAAAGCUGUGAGGACAGCACCCACCUGCCAUACGCAGGUUAUCAACGGCAGCUUACGGCAGGGCGGGUAU
rnacentral:other from 1 species